rnacentral:rRNA from 1 species
CAGUCGUACCUACGAGUAAUCAACCUUUCGAGCGUGAUUUUGUGGCGCGUGUGGAGCUUAACGGCCCUCACGUCUGCACAUUCGUUCUCCUUGGGUGUACUUUCUCGUUGGUAGGUUAACAUCAAUUUCGGUGGUCAUAAAAUGACGGGAGGAAUGUAGCUUUGGCCUCGUGCUGAAGUGUUAUAGACUCUGGUAGAUGUGACGAUCGGGAUUGAGGAUUGCAACGAAUACCCCUCGGGGCUAUCCGUCUGAUCUCUGAAGGUUACUCUGGUGCCGAAAGCGUGCUUACGGUAUCAAAGUUAUCCGUCAACAGGUUAGAACGUGAUUAAA